UACGGGGGGGGCAAGCGUUGUUCGGAAUUACUGGGCGUAAAGGGCUCGUAGGUGGCCAACUAAGUCAGACGUGAAAUCCCUCGGCUUAACCGGGGAACUGCGUCUGAUACUGGAUGGCUUGAAUCCGGGAGAGGGAUGCGGAAUUCCAGGUGUAGCGGUGAAAUGCGUAGAUAUCUGGAGGAACACCGGUGGCGAAGGCGGCAUCCUGGACCGGCAUUGACGCUGAUGCGCGAAAGCCAGGGGAGCGAACGGG
rnacentral:rRNA from 1 species